GAUGAACGCUAGCGGCAGGCUUAACACAUGCAAGUCGAGGGGUAUAGUUCUUCGGAACUAGAGACCGGCGCACGGGUGCGUAACGCGUAUGCAAUCUACCUUUUGCAGAGGGAUAGCCCAGGGAAAUUUGGAUUAAUACCUCAUGGUAUGUGAGAAUGGCAUCAUUUUCACAUUAAAGUCACAACGGCAAAAGAUGAGCAUGCGUCCCAUCAGCUUGUUGGUAGGGUAACGGCUUACCAAGGCAACGAUGGGUAGGGGUCCUGAGAGGGAGAUCCCCCACACUGGUACUGAGACACGGACCAGACUCCUACGGGAGGCAGCAGUGAGGAAUAUUGGACAAUGGGCGCAAGCCUGAUCCAGCCAUGCCGCGUGCAGGAUGACGGUCCUAUGGAUUGUAAACUGCUUUUGUACAGGAAGAAACACUGGUUCGUGAACCAGCUUGACGGUACUGUAAGAAUAAGGAUCGGCUAACUCCGUGCCAGCAGCCGCGGUAAAAC
rnacentral:rRNA from 1 species